rnacentral:rRNA from 1 species
UACGGAGGGUGCAAGCGUUAUCCGGAUUUACUGGGUUUAAAGGGUGCGUAGGUGGGUUGGUAAGUCAGUGGUGAAAUCUUCGAGCUUAACUCGGAAACUGCCAUUGAUACUAUUAAUCUUGAAUCAUCUAGAGGUAAGCGGAAUAUGUCAUGUAGCGGUGAAAUGCUUAGAUAUGACAUAGAACACCAAUUGCGAAGGCAGCUUACUAAGGAUUUACUGACGCUGAUGCACGAAAGCGUGGGGAUCAAACAGG